AUGGAUUCUUCGGAUGACAGAUUAACUGGAAAGCGGCGGACGGGUGAGUAACGCGUGGGUAACCUACCCCAUACACAGGGAUAGCCAUUGGAAACGAUGAUUAAUACCUGAUAACACAUAAUGGUCGCAUGACUAUGAUGUCAAAGAUUUAUCGGUAUGGGAUGGACCCGCGUCUGAUUAGCUAGUUGGUGAGGUAAAAGCUUACCAAGGCGACGAUCAGUAGCCGACCUGAGAGGGUGAUCGGCCACACUGGAACUGAGACACGGUCCAGACUCCUACGGGAGGCAGCAGUGGGGAAUAUUGCACAAUGGGCGCAAGCCUGAUGCAGCAACGCCGCGUGAGCGAAGAAGGUCUUCGGAUCGUAAAGCUCUUUUCU
rnacentral:rRNA from 1 species